AAAAAAGAUUACACUCUCUCAAUAAAUAACUAGCAUAGUUAUCCGCACGAUGCAGCGGACAAAUAUUAUCAAAGCGAUUUUUUUAUUAUUGUUGAUUAUCGAUGAUAGUUUGAAAUUGUACAUAUAUUAAAAAUAAAAUACAGUGAGGAGACGAAAAAAGAAAAAAAAAAGAGAAAAAAAGAAAGGCAUAAAAUAAAGGAAUGACAAAAUAAUUUAAAUAAAAUUAUUAGCCAGAUUAAUAAUUCAAUUAAUUUAAAUAAAAAUAAUUUAAAUAAAAUUAGCUCAAGGUGCUAUAAAAUUUUCAUAUAUAAACUUUAAUAUGAUUUAAAUUGUAUUUGUUGAAUUAGAUUUUAAUUGUAUAAUAGUAAAUUUUUUAAAAUUAUUCAGUGUAUAUAUAAAAUUGUAAAUUGUGGUAAGCAAUUAUUUAUAACAUACAUGCAAAUCUUUUAAAAGAACAUCUAAUUCUAGAAACAAAUCCUAUAAAAAAAUAUAUUUUCUAUCAGCUUAUUGUUUAACAAUUUUACAUACAUCUAAAUAACUAAAAAAGAAAUUGAAAAAAGCUAAUAGAUAGGGUAGUUAAAAAAAAAAUAUUAAAGAAAAAGUAAAAUACAAAAAAUUCCCGAUUACUUGAUUAUCACCAUAUAUAUAUAUAUAUAAUUGAUUAUAUAUCCAUACACUCUCUUCCACUUCUGUUGUCGCUACCGCCGCCGCCGCAUCCAAGAUCUUCAUCUUCUACCACCACUGUCAUCCCCACCAAAUACACGACGGGAUCUGCGGAUUCUAUGAACUUGACACGAUGCGACAGUGAUGAAGCGAGCGACUUUUACGGGAGAGGGAGAGGAUGAAAGAGAUUUAGUAAGAGUUGAAGAACGAAGAGAUUAAUGGAGGCAUGGGGGAAGAAAAAAUUAAUUAUUAAUUAAAUACAAUAAUAAAGAGAGAGAAGUGGGGUUAUUGGAAGGUAAAGAGGUGAACGUUAAAGAAGAGAGAAGAGUUAGAAAUUUUGGAAAAAAAAAUUAAGUUUGAAUUAAUUACAAUAAUAAUAAAAAGAGAGAAGGUGAUGUUAUUGGAAGUUAAAGAGUUAGACGUUAAAGAAGAUGAAAAAGAAAUAAUUAAAAUAUAAAAUAAAAUAAUUAAAAAAAUGAAAAAAUGAGAGCUUGCCACAUCAUCAUUUGAUAUUGGGGAUUCAUAUAAGAGUAUAGAUGUCUCAUUCAUCAACCAUAAGUAUUUAAAAUUACCUAUUUAUAAUUUUUGAUUGGGUUGAUAUAUAUUAUCCAAAUUCUAAGUCCGAUAAGAUUAGUACAUAGUGAAAAUAAUAAUAAGUUAUCAUCAAAUAAAUAAAAUUAAAGCAUAAUGAGAUUAGGGUUAAAAUUGAAAAAGAGAGUGAUCGAUAAUGAGAGAGAAAGUUUAGGUUGAUAAUAAUAAUUAUGAUAAUUAAAAUUUCAAUACAACUGAAUAAAAUAACUUACAUAAAAAAAUUAAAACGUUAACAACUAUUAAUUUAGAAAUACAAAAUC
rnacentral:lncRNA from 1 species